rnacentral:miRNA from 1 species
GUGUUAUUGUGACACUGUGGUAUUGUGGUACUGUGGUACUAUGGUACUGUGGCACACAGUACCGUAGUACCACAAUACCACAGUACCG